GCGAACGCUGGCGGCAGGCUUAACACAUGCAAGUCGAACGGGCGUCCUUCGGGGCGUCAGUGGCAGACGGGUGAGUAACACGUGGGAACGUACCCUUCGGUUCGGAAUAACUCAGGGAAACUUGAGCUAAUACCGGAUACGCCCUUACGGGGAAAGGUUUACUGCCGAAGGAUCGGCCCGCGUCUGAUUAGCUAGUUGGUGGGGUAAUGGCCUACCAAGGCGACGAUCAGUAGCUGGUCUGAGAGGAUGAUCAGCCACACUGGGACUGAGACACGGCCCAGACUCCUACGGGAGGCAGCAGUGGGGAAUAUUGGACAAUGGGCGAAAGCCUGAUCCAGCCAUGCCGCGUGAGUGAUGAAGGCCUUAGGGUUGUAAGCUCUUUCGACGGGGACGAUAAUGACGGUACCCGUAGAAGAAGCCCCGGCUAACUUCGU
rnacentral:rRNA from 1 species